UUUUUUUUGGUGUUUUUUCCCUCCCCCUUUCUUGCUCUCCUCUUUUGAACAGGCAAACCUUAUUCCUGCCAUUGCUCAGGAGCACUCCCCGCGCCCCGGGGCUGUGCUGGGAAGCCGGCAGUGCUCCCGAGGAGGCGUUGAUGAAGCAACUCCUGCCUAAUUGCUCCGCUGCCUGUAUCUCGAGGUGCAGCUUGGCCCUGCCGGUGAAACAAACGAGACUUGGAUUCUCCUGCUUUGUUUUGAUUAUUUUUUGUUUGUUUCUUUUUUCCUACACCUGUAGGAAUUGACUUUUUAGCCCAGUUGUGUUGUUCUUGUGUUAGUUUCUUGUCAGUUUCUUUCUGUUUUGCUAGGCAGUUGGUACACAAAAGUCUAAGGAGCUUGCAGGAGCCAUCAAAGUUGCUGAUGUGUCCCUGCACAUCUGGAGCACCUUGGUCCCUCUGCACAAAGGGGUUUUGACCCAUGCGAAAAAGGAAGGUCUCACAUAGAAGUCACAAGUGUUCUUGGACACAUUUCAGGAUUUCUUUGCUUCCAUGAACUUAUUUACCUGUAGAGUUUGUGCUUAUACAUUACAGGAAUGAUUUCUGGGGCAAGAUCUGAGAGUGGGGAGUGCCUGGGAGCUGGGUGAUACAGCAGCUGCUGGUUCACCAAGUAAUUGGAGAAAUGGGAUAUUAGGAAAAUAUGGGACCAUGCAGAGCUGGAGAAGAGGAUGCAGCAUUUCAUCUCUGUGUCAGAGGAGCAGCGAGUAUUGUGGAAAAGGGAUGUCUAUUCCUUUGUACAAAUGAAAUCAAAGGUGAACCUGGUGGAUUCAAAGCGCAGAAAGUUAGGUGCUUUUCAGUGUUGAGCCAUCUGCUUCAUGAAGGAAUGGAACAAAGGAUCCCAGCAUGAGGUCGCUUUAUCCCACUUCAACUGGUGCUUGCACUUGGGCUUCAACAAGUACAGCUAUGCUGAUUUAAAAAAGUAAUACUAGUAAUAAAUAGACUCUAAAUAUUGGUAACA
ensembl:lncRNA